rnacentral:rRNA from 1 species
GAGAAUUUAAAAACUAUAAGGCGAAAUGAAAGUGAUUAAUUUAUUAAAUUUGGGUUUAAGACUCAUUUUGAAAUAAAGACUAGUUAAAUUUAGGUUUAAUUAAGUUUAAGCAUAUAUGAUGGGACCCGAAAGAUGAUGAACUAUGCUUGAACAGAGUGAAGUCAGGGGAAACUCUGGUGGAGGCUCGUAGCGAUACUGACGUGCAAAUCGUUCGUCUGAUUUGAGUAUAGGGGCGAAAAGACUAAUCGAAUCAUCUGGUAGCUGGUUUUCUCCGAAAUUUCCCUCAGGAUAGCUGACAUUGAUAAUGUACAAUUUUAUAACGUAAAGCGCAUGAUUAGAAGUAUCUGGGUUGAAAUAAUUUAGACUGAUUCUCAAACUUUUGAAGUCGUAAGAAUUAAUAGUACCAUUUUGAUCUAUACUAUUAAUUAAAUGGAACAAAUGUUUAAGUUGGGCCAUUUUUGGUAAGUCAGAACUGGCGAUGCGGGAUGAACCGAAAGUUAAGUAAAAGUGUCGAAAUAUAAGCUAAUUUAGAUAUCAU